AUUGAACGCUGGCGGCAGUCCUAACACAUGCAAGUCGAGCGGAGCGGCGGACGGGUGUGUAAUGCAUAGGAAUCUGCCUGGUAGUAGGGGAUAACGUCCGGAAACAGGCGAUAAUACAGCAUACUAUCAGAUUAGCCUAGGUGGGAUUAGCUAGUUGGUGGGGUAAAGGCCUACCAAGGCGACGAUCCGUAACUGGUCUGAGAGGAUGAUCAGUCACACUGGAACUGAGACACGGUCAAGACUCCUACGGGAGGCAGCAGUGGGGAAUAUUUGACAAUGGGCGAAAGCCUGAUCCAGCCAUGCCGCGUGUGUGAAGAAGGUCUUCGGAUUGUAAAGCACUUUAAGUUGGGAGGCGUUACCAACAGAAUAAGCACCGGCUAACUUCGUGCCAGCAGCCGCGGUAAUUC
rnacentral:rRNA from 1 species